rnacentral:tRNA from 1 species
GCCUGGGUGGCUCAGUUGGUUGAAUGUCUGACUUCAGCUCAGGUGAUGAUCUUUCAGUUUGUGAGUUCAAACCCUGCCUUGGGCU